rnacentral:rRNA from 1 species
UACGAAGGGGGGCUAGCGUUGCUCGGAAUCACUGGGCGUAAAGCGCACGUAGGCGGAUCUUUAAGUCAGGGGUGAAAUCCUGGAGCUCAACUCCAGAACUGCCUUUGAUACUGGGGAUCUCGAGUCCGGAAGAGGUGAGUGGAACUCCGAGUGUAGAGGUGAAAUUCGUAGAUAUUCGGAAGAACACCAGUGGCGAAGGCGGCUCACUGGUCCGGUUCUGACGCUGAGGCGCGAAAGCGUGGGGAGCGAACGGG